CCUACGGGAGACAGCAGUGGGGAAUAUUGCACAAUGGGGGAGACCCUGAUGCAGCGACGCCGCGUGAGUGAAGAAGUAUUUCGGUAUGUAAAGCUCUAUCAGCAGGGAAGAAAAAAGACGGUACCUGACUAAGAAGCCCCGGCUAACUACGUGCCAGCCGCCGCGGUAAUACGUAGGGGACCAGCGUUAGCCGGAUUUACUGGGUGUAAAGGGAGCGUAGACGGCGCGGCAAGUCUGAAGUGAAAGGUAGGGGCUUAACCCCUGAACUGCUUUGGAAACUGCCAUGCUAGAGUGCUGGAGAGGUAAGUGGAAUUAGUAGUGUAGCGGUGAAAUGCGUAGAUAUUAGGAGGAACACCAGUGGCGAAGGCGGCUUACUGGACAGUAACUGACGUUGAGGCUCGAAAGCGUGGGGAGCAAACAGGAUUAGAUACCCUAGUAGUC
rnacentral:rRNA from 1 species